GACGAACGCUGGCGGCGUGCCUAAUACAUGCAAGUCGAACGAACCGCGACUAGGUGCUUGCACUUGGUCAAGGUGAGUGGCGAACGGGUGAGUAACACGUGGGUAACCUACCUCAUAGUGGGGGAUAACAGUCGGAAACGACUGCUAAUACCGCAUAGGACAUGGAAUCACAUGAUUCCGUGAGGAAAGGUGGCGCAAGCUAUCGCUAAGAGAUGGACCCGCGGUGCAUUAGCUAGUUGGUAGGGUAAAGGCCUACCAAGGCGAUGAUGCAUAGCCGACCUGAGAGGGUGAUCGGCCACAUUGGGACUGAGACACGGCCCAAACUCCUACGGGAGGCAGCAGUAGGGAAUCUUCCGCAAUGGACGCAAGUCUGACGGAGCAACGCCGCGUGAGUGAAGAAGGUCUUCGGAUCGUAAAGCUCUGUUGUUAGAGAAGAACAGCGCAUAGAGUAACUGUUAUGCGUGUGACG
rnacentral:rRNA from 1 species